UGCCUAACACAUGCAAGUCGAACGAGAAAGUGAAGCUUGCUUCACAAGUAUAGUGGCAAACGGGUGAGUAACACGUGAACAACCUACCCUCGAGUGGGGAAUAACACCGCGAAAGCGGUGCUAAUACCGCAUAAUAUCUCUGAAUCGCAUGGUUUUGAGAUCAAAAGCUUCGGUUGCUUGAGGAGGGGUUCGCGCCUGAUUAGCUUGUUGGUGAGGUAACGGCUCACCAAGGCUGCGAUCAGUAGCCGGCCUGAGAGGGUGAACGGCCACACUGGAACUGAGACACGGUCCAGACUCCUACGGGAGGCAGCAGUGGGGAAUUUUGCGCAAUGGGCGAAAGCCUGACGCAGCAACGCCGCGUGGAGGAUGAAGGCCCUCGGGUCGUAAACUCCUGUCAGUGGGGAAGAAUGCUUCGGUUUGACUGUACCCGCUUGAGGAAGCCACGGCUAACUCCGUGCCAGCAGCCGCGGUAAUAACGGAGGUUGGCCAAGCGUUGUUCGGAAUUACUGGG
rnacentral:rRNA from 1 species